rnacentral:tRNA from 1 species
GAGAGAGGCCCGACGGCAAUGAAGACUGCUAACUAUCACCCCCCUUGGUUAGACCCCAAGGCUCCCUCG